rnacentral:pre_miRNA from 1 species
CACCACUAAAUAUUCUAUUUAUUGAUAUUGCUAAUAGAUUCCUAUUAAGAUUAAAAAAAAAUAAAGGAAAACACUAAUAAAUACAAUAGCUAUAGCUUUGUCGUCGCCUAGAGUUUACAUGAAAUCCUACAAAAAAUUUCCUUUUUUUUUUAUUUCCCUUUUCUGUCAUGAAAGGUUAUAGAAUAAAAAAAAAUCUUUGUAAAAUAAGAAUGAAUUAUUAAGAUUGGUAAGUUGCUAUAUUUAACCUCGUUGGUA